rnacentral:rRNA from 1 species
UACAGAGACUGCAAGCGUUAUUCGGAUUCACUGGGCGUAAAGGGUGCGCAGGCGGCCGUGUGUGUGAGGCGUGAAAGCCCGGGGCUUAACCCCGGAAUUGCACCUCAAACUACAUGGCUAGAGCAUUGGAGAGGGUAGCGGAAUUCACGGUGUAGCAGUGAAAUGCGUAGAUAUCGUGAGGAACACCAGAGGCGAAGGCGGCUACCUGGACAAUUGCUGACGCUCAGGCACGAAAGCCAGGGGAGCGAACGGG